CCUACGGGUGGCAGCAGUGAGGAAUAUUGGUCAAUGGACGGAAGUCUGAACCAGCCAUGCCGCGUGCAGGAAGACGGCUCUAUGAGUUGUAAACUGCUUUUGUACAAGGGUAAACCUGAAUACGUGUAUUCAGCUGAAAGUACUGUACGAAUAAGGAUCGGCUAACUCCGUGCCAGCAGCCGCGGUAAUACGGAGGAUGCGAGCGUUAUCCGGAUUUAUUGGGUUUAAAGGGGGCGUAGGGGGAAUAUAAAGUCAGCGGUAAAAAUUCGGGGCUCAACCCCGUCGUGCCGUUGAAACUGAUGUUCUUGAGUGGGCGAGAGGUAUGCGGAAUGCGUGGUGUAGCGGUGAAAUGCGUAGAUAUCACGCAGAACUCCGAUUGCGAAGGCAGCAUACCGGAGCGCAACUGACGCUGAAGCACGAAAGCGUGGGUAUCGAACAGGAUUAGAUACCCGGGUAGUC
rnacentral:rRNA from 1 species